rnacentral:rRNA from 1 species
UUGCGGUUAAAAAGCUCGUAGUUGGAUUUCUGUUGAGGACGGCCGGUCCGCACUAUGUGCGUGUAUCUGGUUCGGCCUUGGCAUCCUCUUGAGGAACGUAUCUACGCUUGAUUGCGUGGAGCGGUAUUCAAGACUUUUACUUUGAGGAAAUUAGAGUGUUCACGGCAGGCAAGCGCCUUGAAUACAUUAGCAUGGAAUAAUAAUAUAGGAUCUUGGUUCUAUUUUGUUGGUUUCUAGAGCUAAGGUAGUGAUUAAUAGGGAUAAUUGGGGGCAUUUGUAUUAACGCGUCAGAGGUGGAAUUCUUGGAUUGCGUUACGACAAACCACUGCGAAAGCAUUUGCCAAGGAUGUUUUCAUUGAUCAAGAACGAAAGUAUGGGGAUCGAAGAUGAUUAGAUACCGUUGUAGUCUAUACCAUAAACUAUGCCGACUAGGGAUUGGAGGUCGUUCUUUUUAUGACUCCUUCAGCACCUUAUGAGAAAUCAAAGUCUUUGGGUUCCGGGGGGAGUAUAGUCGCAAGGCUGAAACUUAAAGGAAU